CUUAGUGGCGGACGGGUGAGUAACGCGUGGGGAACCUGCCCUGUACAGGGGGAUAACACUUAGAAAUAGGUGCUAAUACCGCAUAAGCGCACAGUAUUCGCAUGAUACAGUGUGAAAAACUCCGGUGGUACAGGAUGGACCCGCGUCUGAUUAGCUGGUUGGCGGGGUAACGGCCCACCAAGGCGACGAUCAGUAGCCGGCCUGAGAGGGUGAACGGCCACAUUGGGACUGAGACACGGCCCAAACUCCUACGGAAGGCAGCAG
rnacentral:rRNA from 1 species